GAGAGCUUGCUUUUAAUUAUUUUAGCGGCGGACGGGUGAGUAACGUGUGGGCAACCUGCCUUUUACUGGGGAAUAAUCACUGGAAACGGUGACUAAUACCGCAUAAUAUUCUUAGGAGGCAUCUUCUGAGAAGGAAAGGAGAAAUUCGGUAAAAGAUGGGCCCGCAUCUGAUUAGCUAGUUGGUGAGAUAACAGCCCACCAAGGCAACGAUCAGUAGCCGACCUGAGAGGGUGACCGGCCACAUUGGGACUGAGACACGGCCCAAACUCCUACGGGAGGCAGCAGUGGGGAAUAUUGCACAAUGGUGGAAACCCUGAUGCAGCAACGCCGCGUGAAGGAAGACGGUUUUCGGAUUGUAAACUUCUAUCAAUAGGGAAGAAAGAAAUGACGGUACCUAAAUAAGAAGCCCCGGCUAACUGCGUGCCAGCAGCCGCGGUAAUACGUAGGGGGCAAGCGUUAUCCGGAAUUACUGGGUGUAAAGGGAGAGUAGGCGGCAAGGUAAGCGAUAUGUGAAAGCCUUAGGCUUAACCUGAGGAUUGCAUAACGAACUAUCUAGCUAGAGUACAGGAGAGGAAAGCGGAAUUCCUAGUGUAGCGGUGAAAUGCGUAGAUAUUAGGAAGAACACCAGUGGCGAAGGCGGCUUUCUGGACUGAAACUGACGCUGAGGCUCGAAAGCGUGGGGAGCGAACAGGAUUAGAUACCCUGGUAGUCCACGCUGUAAACGAUGAGUGCUAGGUGUCGG
rnacentral:rRNA from 1 species